UACGUAGGGGGCAAGCGUUGUCCGGAAUUAUUGGGCGUAAAGAGCUCGUAGGCGGUCUGUCGCGUCGGUCGUGAAAACUUGGGGCUUAACCCUGAGCUUGCGGUCGAUACGGGCAGACUAGAGUGCGGUAGGGGAGACUGGAAUUCCUGGUGUAGCGGUGGAAUGCGCAGAUAUCAGGAGGAACACCGAUGGCGAAGGCAGGUCUCUGGGCCGCAACUGACGCUGAGGAGCGAAAGCAUGGGGAGCGAACAGG
rnacentral:rRNA from 1 species